rnacentral:rRNA from 1 species
UACGGGGGGGGCAAGCGUUGCUCGGAAUCACUGGGCGUAAAGGGCGCGUAGGCGGGAUGGCAAGUCAGUCGUGAAAUCUCUCGGCUCAACCGAGAAACGUCGGCUGAUACUGCCGUUCUUGAGGGAUGCAGAGGAGACUGGAAUUCCCGGUGUAGCGGUGAAAUGUGUAGAGAUCGGGAGGAACACCGGUGGCGAAGGCGGGUCUCUGGGCAUCUCCUGACGCUGAGGCGCGAAAGCGUGGGGAGCAAACGGG